rnacentral:piRNA from 1 species
UUGAUAUACUUGCCUUGCUAUUCCUG